GAUCUUCGCCCGAUGCCUCCCCGCAAAGCAUCCACACGACGAUCCAUGACCUCCGCGGUCAGAUCUCAGGCUCCGACCUCACCUCCAGUUUCCCAACCUCCUCCUCCUCCUUCGGCAACGGCGGUUGGCGCAGAAUAAUUCGACCUACUGGCCCAGCAGGUUAGAGACCUCGCUGAAGCGGUGCAGGCCAUGCAGCAGCAGCAACAGCCGCAGACGUCAGUG
rnacentral:lncRNA from 1 species